rnacentral:lncRNA from 1 species
CUGAUUUUCAAAUAAAGUGUAAAAUUACUCAACAAAGAAGUGAAUAUAUUUUUUAUAAAGUUUGAUUUUAGUACCGACAAGUCUAGCGUCUUCAAGGGAAGUUGAUCACAACAAGCCAAUCGCCACGCAUUACAAACAUGAGCAAGUCCAGCAGACAAUUCAAAAACGUCGAAAGAUUGGAGUAUCUUCACCAAGAUAUCAUUAUCGAGGUCCUCCCAGAUCCUUACAGGAGAAUCUCCUUCCUCCAUCACAAAAACCCCAUCUCCUUAACGCCUGUAGAAAUAAGAAAUGUUAUUACUUCUCUAUAUCCAUGAAGAAUAUUUUGAAUUCCUGACGUCAAAUUAAUGUUGUUGAUCGCCAUUUUGUAUUCUUGUGAAUAUACUCCGAUUAUGAAGAAUAAAAAGUUAAGCCCUGCAAUACAAAUAAACAUAGACGAAUGUACAAAUACGUUUGAGGAGUACUGGGGUGCCCAAAAGUUAAGAAACUAGGAAAGUAUUAAAUGGAACUUAAGUUGGUUGUAGAUAACAAUAGAGAAGUAAGUUCUUGUAGCCAUAGCUGUUGGAAGCAUCACAUUUAGGAUAAAAAUAAUCAUUAUCUGAAAGCAAAAUUAUACAAAAAAAAAGGACGAAGUAACAGUGAUUUGCACAUAAAAUUCCCUGAAGAAGAACAUUCAAUGUCCUGAGAAGAAGGACGGAAAGAUGAAGACUUGUUAUAUAUUUUGAAGAACAAGACAAGGACAAAGAGUACUGGGAAUGGGAAAAGUGUCUGCUGACAAAGAUGCAUAUAGUUUCCAGGAAGCAAAUAGAAGGGAAUGCGAAAACUUAAUACUCUACUCCUUCUAUUUUACAUCAAUGGGAAUAAAAAUAAAUUAGCUAAUUUCAUUGGGGUAUUUUAGCAAAGAGUAGUAGUAGUUAAAAAGUUAGGUGAAAGGAAAAAAACACCAUGUCAAAAUUUGACUACCAUUCGUUGAAUGAAUUCCUUAAACUUGUGCGGUUCAUACAACAAUAACUAUGCCUUAAUCUCAAAUGUGUAGUUUGUUUGCAACCAUUCCACUCUACCCGGGUUCUAAUUCCAUUUGGAGCAAUUUCAUUCCAAUCUUUUAAGAUAAUUACUAAGGAUUCUCUAUUACAAAAGUUUUUUCUAUGUUCUCUACCGAAAUACAAAUCAGUUAUGAACUAAAAGGACUCAUGGAAAACAAAAUACCUAAUAUAAGUGUAGCAACAUUAAAUAAACCUUAAUCCUAACCAUUGGAAUUAGUAUGGAUCUGGUGCUUCAUUUAUAUUUUGUUUUUUUAGGCUAAUUCAACAAGAAUCUCAAGAACUUGUAAGUUCUUUGAGACAACUUUGUCCAUGAGACUGAAUUGUUUACCUCAUCCAUUUUAAAACGUCCAACCAUCAUAGAGUCACACUGGUGCAUUUGAACUUCUAAUGUAGACAUUUCCAAACUAUAAUUCAGGGCCUUCUUUUCUUUUAUCUUCUACAUGUGAUUUUUGUAACUUGGCAUAAUCAUCACUUAUUUUGUCUUGUUUUGUAUGAACACACACCAUCAUACCAUUCAAAUUUUUACAACAUCCAUUUUUUAUAAUGUCGGACCUCAGAUACACAACAUCCACACAUACACCAUCAUUGGUCUCACAACUGUCUUAAAAAACCUAUCCUUCACUCUAGUGUGUAUUUCCUUAUUGGUUACCACUCCAUUUCAACUAUAGGGCUUUAACUUAAGUGUUGCAUCUUCGUCUAUCAAACUAUCACACCAUUGAUGUGGAAACAGAGCCUAGACAUAUGAAUGAUCUAUGUGAACUCACUUUGAUGAGCUCUGACCUGAAUAAAGAAGUAUUGUUGUAAAUUAAUGAUCAAUGUGAUACUAGUUUAUCAUAAUAGUAAGGAAUUAAUUAGAGAAAUGACAUCAAAUAUUUUGUAAUGUCCUGAAAUGAAGUGUCAUAUAAAUUGAGAAAAAUAGAGUGUUGAUAACAACUCUUCAACGACAGAUCCAAUGAUAGUUAGUAGCGGGAUCUGUAUAUGACUAGAUUCUAAAUUGAAAGCUAAACUAGACAGUCAAACUAAUGGAUCGUCAAUCCUCUUCCAACAAAAGCUGAAAAACACAAGUAAUUUUAGACUAAAAUUUAACCCCUAAAAGCACAAAAUAUGCAUGGGACUUGAGACCCAAAUCGGUACAGAAAUGUGUUGAUGUGGGGAUUAUAUAACCUUGGGCUCUCCCACUUUAAUAGCUAACUUUUCGGGUGUUAUUCUCCUUGAGUUAUACAAAGGGUAUGAUAGCCACCCACUACCUUUCAUACUUAUCGUGCCAUUUAUGGUGUUCACCCGAAACUAGCUAUUUCUAUUACACGGCCGUGGAGGACAAGAUCUUGGUGGUUGGUUAUGAUUAAUUUACACACACACAACAGUUGUAAAUUUAAUGAUAUUAUUUUAUAAUAGUUUGCUUAUCAUAAAAUUUUAUGGAAUCAAACCAAAGGAUAGUAAAGUGCACCCAUCCUCUUACAAUCCAGGAUACACCUUUGAUGAUCUGGAAUCCAACACUGACCCUAUGUGUGUGUGUGUGUGCGGCCAGAGGAGGGAGGUCAUGUCUACUAAAGCCAUCUCUUACUCAACUUUUUCAGUGAUGUCUGUGAUUUCUCAUUAAAGUUAAGAUCAUGAAUAUCCCACCUAAUACAGUAUACCCUUCCAACCCAAUAUCCUUACAUUUUCCAAUUGCUUUCCAAAUAAAGUGAGGAAAUUUAAUUCUGAGAUUUUGUUAGGCUGUUCUCCUAACUUUCUUUUCAUAAAUUUGUAAGCUCAAAUGUACUACUUUUUUGCAUCUUUUGGAUGAACUUUUUAAUUCGUGAAAAUAAUAAUAAAAAAUUUCCCAUCAAUCUCUCAAACUACUAAUCAUGUAUCUAGAGUUUACAGGCUCGAUGACCCGAAACCCAAUUUUCUUUUUGUAAAAAUAAAAGACAGAAUAACCGAAGCACCAGUUGCAUUAAACAUACACAGGUUAAAAUGAUAAAUUACAAGUAAAUUAAAACCAAUCUCGACAAAGAUUUAAAUUUUAAGAACAAAAAAUCUGCUUUUGAUCAUACCACACUAAUAAUUGAAAUGCUGAAAACCAAGAAACAAAACUCAGAUAAGCAUAAAUUCAAACCUGUAUGGGCAAAACUCAAUUGUUUCUGCAAUUAAAUUCCAGUAAGUGCCAAAAAAGGGGGAAAAAGUUCCACAAGGUGUACACUGAAUCAAGAUCCAACUCGAAUAAGAAAUUAAAUCGAAAACAACCUUAAAGAAUGGAAAAGAGAGAUUUAGGACAUGCCUUUAGAACAUAGGUAAAUUAUAGCGAAUAACAUACAAAGGUUGGAUAGUUGGUUCACUUUAUAGUGUGUAAACAAAUGGGUGAAAAAUGUGGGAUGAUUCUUUAGCUGUGAUGAUGAGUGAGAUUCAGAUAUGAGAAAAAUGACGAUAAUAACCCCCAUACAUUGACAAGUACCCGACGGUCAAACAGUAAUCUUUAUUGAGAGCAUGCAACUGUAAGAUUUAACUUUUUUUUUUGCUUAUUAUGAGAAUAGUUAAAAGUACCGUCUUUUCCACAUUCUUUUGACAAAUGAAUAGAAUUUCAUUUUCUUCUUAUAUAGAAAUUUUUUUAUUAAAAUUUCUCUUUAUUUCUCUCCCUUAAUUAUGUGCGAGGAAUUGCCCUAUUGAGUAAUGGGAAGCGGGCUAGCCUAAGAAGGUGAAUUAAUGUUACAUAUUUUUUUUCUUAAUUCUUUUUGGGAUUUGAAGAGAAAGAAAAUAAUUCUUAGUAUACAUUUUCAUAAUCACGCUUCACUUUAUUAUUUAGGUUUUCGGCAAAAACGUACACGCUUUUGUUUACUCGAAAAACAAUUGAAUUUGUUAUAAGGUUAUCAUGUAGAUUGACUGACUUGCAAAUUAGAGAUCAAGUGUAUAUACAGGUAGGCAAGCGUGUAAAGAACGACAAUAAAUGUCAAAAACUAUUCCAUGGCACUACAAAAUCACUCUACAACCCAUUCUCUCCUCCAAGAUCUUAUAGUAUUAAAAUCUCACCUAACACCCAAGUAAUAUCCCUUCUCCACAAACCUACCCCUAAUUCCUCCCAAAAUAUCUCUUUGGAUCCUUCCCCCACAUGUCGAUAGAUCUCUUCCCACCAUAAUGGAUUUCUUCUCGAAGUCAUGGGAGUUCAUAAAACUAAUAUUUUGGGGGCAAUCAAUCACUUCCAUUGACACUGCUAUAUGGUGAGAUCAAUUAAUGCCACUUUCACCUCAUUGAUUCCUGAGAAGAAUGGGGCUAUGGAAAGGAGAGACUUUAGACCUAAAGUCUUGUUGGCAAUGUCAAUAAAAUAGUGGCCAAACUUUUAGCAAAAAGGUUGAAGAAGGUACCUGGGAAACUGGUUUCUAGUUACCAAAUGCAUUUAUCAAGGGAAGACAAUAACUGAUGCAUCCUUAAUUGCUAAUGAGGUCAUGGAUUGAAGGAUUAAAUCAGGAGUCCCUGGAUUCAUAUGCAAGCUUGAUUAAGAAAAGGUUUUUGACAAGUUAAAUCGAUUCUCUAUUAUGAAGAAAAUGGUCUUUGGCACCAAAUGGCUUAAAUGGAUCUGAUAUUGUAUCUCCGUAGUCAAAUACUCAAUCUUGAUAAACAAAGGACCAAUUGGGGUUUUCUCUUCACAGAAAUGAAUUAGACAAGGAGAGCCUCUUUCUCUAUCAUCUUGGCUAUGGAAGGACUACACAAAAUAUUGGAAAAGGCUAGACAAUUGCAAUGGAUACAUGGAUUUAGUGUGGGUUCAAACUCAGGAAACACUUUGACUAUUUCUCACUUACUAUAUGCUAAUGAUGCUCUAAUUUUUUGUGAUGCAAAGAAGUCCAAGUCAUCUAACAAGAAUUUUACACUGAUGUUUUUUGAAACUUCAUCAGGUUUAAAGAUCAACAUGUUGAAGAGUAUUAUUUGUCCCUGUUAAUGAUGUAAAUAACACAGAGGAGCUUGCAGAAAUUAUGUGGUGCACCAUUGGUUUACUUUCUAGCACUUAUUUAGGCAUCCCAUUGGGUUCCAAAUUGAAGUGUAUGAUAUAUGGAAUGGGGGAAAUUUCAACAUCUCUCUUUGGGUGGAAGACUCACAUUUAUCAAGAGUAUUCUAGAUAGUAUACUAACCUAUUUUAUGUCCCUGUUUCCCAUACCAAAGAAGGUGCGAGGAUCAUGAGAAAUUUCCUAUGGGACAACAAUAGCAAUACUCAAAAGUUUCACUUGAUAAUAUGGGACAAAGUUUUGCUUCCAAAAUGCAAUGGGGGCCUUGGAGGUUAAGAUUUGGCAAUUCAUAACAAAUCCUUACUUAUGAAAUGACAUUAGAUAUAUGGCUUUGGUGAUGGCAGUAUCAUGAAGGAUGUGAUCAUUUCCGAACAUGGUAGAAAGGAAAAAUGGAGCUCAAACACCGUCAAUCUGCCUUAUGGAGUUAGGCCUUGGAAAUAUAGACUCUAAAUUCUCUCCUGGAAUUCCCUUGUAACCUGGGGAUGGUAUGUAUAUCAAGUUCUAGAAGGAUUGAUGGUGAAACAAUACAACUCUCAAGGAGGAAUAUCCCAAUAUCUUCAACAUUGCUAUAAAUAAGUACUCUUCAAUUGCUCAAAACAGGACCAACAACACUUGGGAUGUGCAUUUGAAAAGGUUUUUGCAGGACUAGGAACUUGGGAGUUUGAUGGAAUAUUAGCAAUGGUGAAAGCUCACAGUUUUGAUGGAAGUAAACUAGAUAGGCUAAGGUGGGGAAGCAAAGGUAUAUUCAUAGUGAAAGAAUGAUACACACAAGUAUGCUAACAAAGUCAAGUAACUGAUAAAUGGCCAUGAAAGUAUGGAAGACCAAUCUACCCUAUGAAGAUUAAAUGCUUCAGUUGGAGGCAUACUAAACAAUGUUUGUCUUAUUCUAGACAACCUGACAUUGCAGCUGGUCAACAUAUGCUAUUUUUGCAAGACAAUUCAGGAGAGAGUUAACCACCUCUUCCUUCACUGCCCAUUAGCAUAUGAUCUCUGAAAUUAAUGAAAAUCUUACCGGAACCAUUUCCCUUCGGCACAUUAUCACUUGCCGGAUCUAUUUCCCAUCGGCUUUAUAUCGAAUCAUUAGCCGGAACCAUUUCUCUUCUAGUUACUAUCAAAUCACUAACUGGAACCAUUUCCCUUCAAGUUACUAUCAAAUCACUAGCCAGAACCAUUUUUCUUCGGCUUUAUAUCAAAUCACUAGCCGGAACUCAUUUCCCUUCGGCUUAAUAUUACUAGCCAGAAUUAUUUCCCUUCGGCCUUAUAUCACAUGUCUCAUCAUGGUGUUCAACAAUCAACACAAAUAAGCAAUGUUACACCAUAAGAAAGAGACAAUAAUUCAGACAAUUCAAGUCCACAUUUGUGCCAUCAAAGCACUUCAUCAUUCAAUCAAAUAAGGGUCACAACAAGGCAAUUCACAGGCAUUAUGAUCAACAAGUCGCAUUUUCUUUAAUCCCCUUUUCUUUAAACAAGUGCAACAAUGAGCCCUUCCCUCAAUCCCAUUACUCCCCAACACACAAUGAAAGGAAAUAGAUGAUUCUACUAGGUUACAAAGUUUAAGAGACCACUUGCCUUAAUUCAAUCAAUUAAUCAAUCUGAAGCUUGAGCCUUCUCUUUUCGAACGAUAUCAAAUGCCCUACAAUCUAGUUCAAUCAAGUAAUUACAAUAAGAUUCUGAAAUUAACACUGUCCAACGCAAGCAAUUUAGACAAAAAUGUCAAUAAACUCAAAAAAUAAAUUCCAAAAUUGAGGUUUAAAUCUAAAAAUAUUUACUUAAAAACAUUACUCAAGGCAUUGGGAACUCGUUGGUGAAAACCAUUUGGAAAAAGGAUUUGAAAUUAGUUCACAAACCCAAUUUUACUUCAACAACUCAAAUUCACGAAAACCCUCAAUUUAUCCUUCCAAAAUCUCGAUUUGAACACAUAAAUCCAAUAUUAAUAAUGGGUAAUUGAAGAUUUAAAGCCAAGAAAUGUUACCCAACUAUUUUAUCUUGAAAAAAUCACUUGAAAUCGCCUCCACCGAGUUCUCAAAGCUCCAAUAGAAAAUGGGAAAGAAACCUCGAAUUUGGAUCGAAACGCUGCCAGAGGUCCUUCGUAAAUGCACACCCCUGUUCGCAAAUGCAGCCAGACAGCUCAUACCUGAGCCCACGGAUGCGCCCUACACUCCGCGAACGCGGAGGUCAAAGCUUUGACCUCCCACAAAUGCUAAAUCCAUCUUGUAUAAUUUUUAUCAUGCAGACAAUCUAAAGUAGAGCUUUUGCAAAAUAUAAGAAUUAAGAACUUAGAAAAUACCGUUGGAUAGAAUGCAUACACUCAAUUUCACAUUCUUGAUUAUGGUAUUUGCAAAACUAAUGUCCAUAAUCAAAUUUGGCAAGUCCAUUGAUUGGUAGCUAGGAUCAUCAUGCUCAGAUCAUUCACAAAAAAUGAACUGUAUUUUCACGUCCAAACACAAUAAAAAGAAUGACAUAUUUUAGGUAUUUAUCUGUAACAUCUCGCAAAUUGAAAUAACUAGAAAGAAGCUAAUAAUUGAAAAUAGUCAUUUUUGGAAAGAAUGAAAAUCUGGAAAUUUUGUUAAGUUAGAAUAACUUGAGUUUUGGCCAACUUCAAACGGCCAUAACUUCUAGCUCAGGAUGAUUUAGAGGUACUUCCAGAUAUGGCAGGAAAUAUCUUGGAAUGAUCUUUCCAACGCCGCUGAGUUUGCAUGAUUCUGAGUUCGUAUGAGUGAGUUAUUCCCUUUGGAAGUUGGGUAGUUGGAAUAAGGAAAGUCCAAUCCCGAUUUUGAAAGGGUAGUUUGGUCUUUUUCUUUCUCAAUUAUUUUAUUUCGUUUUUGGUAAUUAAGUUAGGGUCUAAUCAGAAUUAGAUCAGUUUACUCUUUUACCAAAAUACGCUAGGGCUUGGAGAAAAGAGAAAAGAAGAGGAGAAAGGGGAAGAGAAACAAGAUUCAUCAAGAUCGUCGAGUUUAGCUUGUGGAUUUCGUCAGGGGUGAUCCCUACAAUGUAUGUGAGAUCAUAGCAUUGGGUUAGUUCACCCAUGCGCCAAUCAUGAUUCAAUUUCAGCGAAGUUAUUAGAUUUGAAAGUAAAUCCUUGAGUUCUUGAUGAAAUUCGUUUGAAUUCUUGUUGGUGUUGUUGUUGGAGUUUUCUUGAGAUUGACUCAUGUUGUUUGCUGUGUUUUUCGAGUAGAAUAUGAUGUAUAUUGAGGGUAAAACUUAUUCUAAGUGUUUUGGGAAAGAACCAUUGAAGUUUAGAGGGUUUAGAGAUGAAAAACGAGCAAGAAAAGUCAUCAAACACCUGGGGAAAGGGGUUGCCAGCGCGCCCCAAAAAGGUUUCUGAAAUUUCACCCUUGGGGCGCCGCGCCAGCCAGCGCGCCCUAACUUGUUCUCUGAAUUUUGAGGGCUAGCGACCCGCGCCUCUCAGAGCGCCAGGGAUGCCAGUUCUCCCCAUUCGUUCCCCACCUUUUAGUACUUGUUCCUUAGCAAUGUACCUAUGUUUUCUAGUUGAUUCCAACACUCUAAGGUACAUAUAAACAUCAUGAAAUCAUCCAUAAACAUGAGAUCAUGAAACUUGAAUCCAUAAUCCAAUUCAAGGAUAGUUAAGAUCAAAGUCAAGAGAAGUAAGAUUCAAGUCAAGAGAAGUUCUUAGAGUUUUCCAAAAGUCUUUUCCAAAUGUUUUGACUUUGUUUUAAGACUUAUAGUUCAAGUUGAUUAAAGAUUAAAGAGUAAAGUUGAAGUUCAUUUAUUCAAAAGUAUAUGAGGACUAUGUAUUCCCAAAGGAUUUAAAAUGUUUUCACAUUUAAACAAGAAAGGAAACCUCGAUUUCCAAAGAGCCUACGGACUAGUUUUCAGAAAAGAGUAAUCGUUUUCUAAAUGAAGCAAGAGAGGAAACUUCGAUUUUCAAGAUAGCCUUUGAUCUAAUUUUAGAGCAUUAAUCUCAAAUCACAGAAAGAAGUAUGUUUUUAAACAGAAGAGCUAAUAUCACAUUUUUGGGAGUAGUAUUGAGCACCGAUAUGAGGGAGAGUUCAGACAACUCACAGCCCCCAUAAAUCAUGUAGCCAUCAUGGGUAGAAAAGGGUCAUACUUUUUAGAUGAUUCCUUUAGUGCUUUUUAACAUAGACCAGUGAAUCCACUUAGUAGUUCAGGUUCUAUACCCCCGGCAAGGUAUAUGACGGGUUUGGCAGCGUGACGUAAAACGUUGUAUCAUCACGAUAAUGGUUGUCGGUUAGAGAAACUCCCACAGAAGUAAUUGUAUUCUUAUAUACACACUUUAUUGUAUUUUACAUAAUAUUUUAGAGUUAUAUGUAUCUUUGCAUACACACAUAGUUGACAUCAUAUUUUAAACAAUUUUUCUUUAUAUUGCACUUGUUUUAAACUGCUUUAUAUUGAAAUGAGUUCAGUUAUGUUGAGUUGAGUUUAGCCAGGUAAGUUCUUCAGAUUUCUUUCAAGCCUAUGUUGUGUUUUGCAUUCCAACUCGCAUACUCGUACAUUCAAUGUACUGAUGUCAGUUGGCCUGCAUCUUAUUACGAUGCAGACACAGGUAACCAUGAUCACCAUCCAGUGCAUCAUUGAUCCAAUCGAGCACUUAGAGUCAGUUGGUGAGCCUCUUUGCUUUCUGGAGGAUCCCUUUGGUUAUGUUUUGUUUCAUUGCUUGCUUAUUUUAGUUGUUAGGAUGAUCGGGGGUCUUGUCCCGACAUCCCUCAGAGUUUAGAGGCUUCAUAGACAGAGUUAGUAAUGUUAGUUCAUGAAUCUUUACUUUUCCUUUUCAGUUAAGUUGAGACUUGAGUUGCUACUUUGGCAGUGAAUGUUAUUAUAAUACAUUCUAAGUUAUAUUUUGAGAAGUUUAGUUUACUUUAAAAGUAUUUGUCUUCAUGAGUUAAGUCUUCCGCUGAGUAAGUAAGCCAGGUCAAGGGUUCGCUUGGGGCCAGCAAUGGUUCUCAAGUGCCGGCCACAUCCAGCGUGUAGGCUCGUGGCGUGACAAACUUGGUAUCAGAGCACAGAGUUCAAGAGUCCUAGGGAAUCUAUGAAGCCGUGUCUGUAGCGUCCUGGUUAUCGGUGUGAAUCGCGCCACCUCUAUAAUUAGGAGGAGGCUGCAACAUUUAGGAAAUUUCUCACUUAUUUCAUAUUCAUUUCGUGCGAUAGAGUUAAUCUCUAUAAAGUUUCUUUCUACUCGUGCUUGCGUAACCGAUUGUGAGUUGGGCUGUUUUGAGAGUGCUUUCAUGGGGCGGUUCUUUCCCCGUGAGCUAAGAGAUGGUUGCCGACAUGAGGAGCAAGAUGAGUUUAUUCAUUGUUGAGUUGCCUCGUCUGUCAAGUAAGAAAAGUAAGCCAACCAUGCUAGUAGGUUACAUGGGCAUAGCCAUGCUGAUGAUCAAUGUGCAACAAGUUAAGAAGAACCAACUGAAAGAUAGAAAAGAGUUUGAGAAUAAGAGGGCUAAGAUAUCAGGGAAUAAAUUCGAGCAGCAAAAGAGUAAUGUUAACCGAUCUUGUUUCCAACAUAAGCAGAAGGACCUGCUCCAUCAUCUGCUAGUGCACCUGCACUAAGGAACAAAUGUGAGUACAAUAGUCAAAAUUCCCAGAACUUCAGAGCUAGACCUGCACAUUCGCAAGGUAGUAAGGAACAAGGGGGUACUAAGACUCCUGCAUGUGCUAAGUGUGGUAGGAGCCACUCAAGGAUGUGUCGUGAUGACUCCACUAGUUGCUUCAAGUGUGGCCAGAACGGUCAUUUUAUGAGAGAGUGUCCUAAGAGCAAAUAGUGUAAUGGUAAUGGGAGGCAAUCGAGCCCAGUCUUCUUCAGUUGCUCCACCAGACAGAGCUGCAUCUAGAUGAGCUACUUCAAGGGCAGACGUAGAAGGAAACCGUUUUUAUGCUAUCGCUAGUCGCCAAGAGCAAGAGGAUUCGCCAAAUGUUGUUACUAGUAUGAUCCAAGUCUUCAAUUUUGAUAUUCUUCCUGAGCAACUUUUUGAGCCCUUUAGUGUUUCCACAUUUGAUGGUGAGUUUAUUCUAGCAGAAAGGAUCUAUUGUGAUUGCUCCGUUUCUGUCAAUCACAAGAGUACCAUGGCUGAUUUAGUUGAGUUAGACAUGGUAGAGUUUGAUAUCAUUCUAGGUAUGGACUGGCUUCAUGCCUGCUAUGCAUCAAUAGAUUGUAGAACUCGAGUAGUCAAGUUUCAAUUUCCAGUGAACCAGUUAUAGAGUUGAAGAGCAGUUCAGCAGUGCCUAAUGGUCGUUUUAUUUCGUACCUUAAGGCAAGAAAGUUAGUUUCCAAGGGGUGUGUCUAUCACUUAGUCCAAGUUAAUGACUCUAGUGUUGAGAUACCUCAUAUUCAAUCAGUUUCAGUAGUAAAAAGUUUUCAGAUGGUCUUCCCGGAGUUCCUCCUGAGAGAGAAAUAGACUUCAGUAUAGACAUUUUUCCAGAUACUCGUCCUAUAUCUAUUCCGCCAUAUAGAAUGGCCCCAACAGAGUUGAAAGAGAUAAAAAUAGUUGAAAGGUCUUUUAGAGAAAGGUUUCAUUUGACCAAGUAUUUCACCUUAGGGCGCUCUGGUCCCAUUUGUGAGAAAGAAAGAUGGUUCACUUAGGAUGUGUAUAGAUUACCAUUAGUUGAACAAGGUUAACAUCAAGAAUAAGUAUCCUCUUUCGGGAAUUGAUGAUCUUUUUGAUCAGCUUUAGGGUGAUUCGUGUUUCUAUAAGAUAGACCUCAUAUUAGGCUACCAUCAGUUGAAGGUAAGGGAAUGUGAUAUUCCAAAAGACAACAUUCACGAACCGUUAUGGUCAUUAUGAGUUUCUGGUCAUGUCCUUUGGUUUGACCGAUGCGCCUGCAACAUUCAUGGACCUUAUGAAUAAAGUAUUCAAGCCUUAUUUGGAUAUGUGUGUUAUCGUGUUCAUUGAUGACAUACUAAUCUAUUCGAGGAAUGAGGAAGACCAUGCUAGCCAUCUCAGAAUAGUUCUUCAGACUUUAAAAGAUAGAGAGUUGUAUGCCAAGUUCUCUAAGUGUGAGUUUUGGCUUGAGCCUGUGGCAUUCUUAGGCCACGUUGUGUCUUGAGAGGGAAUUAAAGUUAAUACUCAAAAAAUUGAGGUAGUGCAGAAUUGGCCUAGACCCACAUCUCCAACUGAUAUUAGGAGUUUCUUGGGAUUAACUGGCUAUUAUAGAAGGUUUGUAGAGGGGUUCUCCUCUAUUUAAUCCCCUUUGACCAAGUUAACCCAGAAGGCAGUGAAGUUUCAAUGGUCUGAAGCUUGUGAGAAAAGCUUUUAGGAAUUGAAAAAGAAGUUGACUACUGCCCCAGUAUUGACCUUACCAGAAGGUACACAAGGCUUUGUUGUAUAUUGUGAUGCGUCUAGAGUUGGUUUGGGAUGUGUAUUAAUGUAGAAUGGCAAAGUUAUAGCUUAUGCCUCCGGACAGUUGAAAAUUCAUGAGAAGAAUUACCAUGAUCUAGAGUUGGCUGCCGUAGUAUUUGCUUUGAAAAUAUGGUGCCAUUAUCUUUAUGGUGUUCAUAUGGAUGUGUUCACUAAUCACAAGAGUCUUCAGUAUGUGUUUAGUCAGAAAUAACUUAAACUCAGACAAAAGAGGUGGUUAGAAUUACUCAAAGAUUAUGACAUGGGUAUUCUUUAUCACCCAGGUAAGGCUAAUGUUGUUGCUGAUGCCUUGAGCAGGUUGUUUAUGGGUAGUACCGCCCAUGUUGAGAAAAAUAAGAGAGAGUUAGCAAAAGAUGUGCACAGACUUGAACGACUAGGGGUUCGACUAAUGGAUUCCACAGAAGGAGGAGUAGUGGUGAUUAAUGAGGUUGAAUCAUCAUUAGUGUCAAAAGUGAAAGAAAAGCAAGACCAAGAUCCUUUAUUGCUUGAAUUAAAGGCAAGUGUUCAUAAGCAAAAAGUGAUGGCUUUUGAACAAGGGGGAGAUGGUGUUUUGAGGUAUCAAGGUAAAUUAUGUGAUUGAUUUCAAGGGUAAUUGGGAUGAUCACCUAUCUCUCAUUGAGUUUGCUUACAACAAUAGUUACCAUGCUAGUAUCCAAAUGGCUCUAUGUGAGGCUCUUUAUGGGAGAAGAUGCAGAUCUCCUAUUGGAUGGUUUGAAGUUGGUGAAGCAAGGUUGAUAGGACCAGAUUUAGUUCAUCAAGUUAUGAAGAAGGUGAAAGUGAUUCAAGAGAGGUUGAAAAUGAUGCAGAGUUGUCAGGAAUCCUACAUUGAUGUUAGGAGAAGGAAGUUAGAGUUUGAAGUAGAUGAUUGAGUAUACUUGAAAGUUUCACCCAUGAAGGGUGUCAUGAGAUUUGGAAAGAAGGGGAAGCUUAGUGUAUAUUGGCCCUUACAGAAUAUCCAAGAGGAUUGACAAUGUAACUUAUAAGUUAGAGCUACUACAAGAAUUAGUAGCAAUCCAUCCGUUGUUCCACAUCUCCAUGUUGAAGAAGUGCAUGGGAGAUUCUUCACUUAUCAUACCAACUGAAGAUAUUGGAAUCAUGGAUAGCUUAUCUUAUGAGGAGAUUCCAAUUCAAAUUCUAGAUCGCCAAGUUCGCAAGUUGAGAACAAAAGAGGUAGCAUCAGUCAAAGUCCUUUGAAGGAACCAAUUUGUUGAAGAAUCUACUUGGGAAGCUGAGGAGGAUAUGAAAAAUAGAUUUCCACAUCUCUUCAAAUCCGGAGAAGUUCUGAAUUAAGGUAUUAAUCCUUCCUUAAUAUUUAUUUAUAAGUUGACUUGUUGUUUUGCUUUUUCUUAUGGGUGUUUGAACUGAAUGCUGCAUGUUACACCCUUAGCCUAGUAAGAAUAAUAUCAUUCGAGGAUGAAUGUUCCCAAGGGGGAGAUAUUGUAACAUCUCGCAAAUUGAAAUAACUAGGAAGAAGCUAAUAAUUGAAAAUAGUCAUUUUUGGAAAGAAUGAAAAUCUGGAAAUUUUGUUAAGUUAGAAUAACUUGAGUUUUGGCCAACUUCAAACGGCCAUAACUUCUAGCUCAUGAUGAGUUAGAGGUACUUAUAGAUAUGGUAGGAAAUAUCAUGGAAUGAUAUUUCCAACACCACUGAGUUUGCGCAAUUCCGAGUUCGUAUGAGUGAGCUAUGCCUUUAGGAAGUUCGGUUGUUGAAAUAAGGAAAGUCCAAUCCGGAUUUUGAAAGGGUAGUUUGGUCUUUUCCUUGCCCAAUUAUUUUAUUUCGUUUUUGGUAAUUAAGUUAGGGUCUAAUCAGAAUUAGAUCAGCUUAUGCUUUUACCAAAAUACUCUAGGGCUUGGAGAAAAGAGAAAAGAAGAGGAGAAAGGAGAAGAGAAACAAGAUUCAUCAAGAUAGUCGAGUUUAGCUUGUGUAUUUCGUCGGGGGUGAUCCCUACAAGGUAUGUGAGAUCAUAUAGAGUUGGGUUAGUUCACCCACGCGCCAAUCAUGAUUCAAUUUCAGCGAAGUUAUUAGAUUUGAAAGUAAAUCCUUGAGUUCUUGAUAUUGAUUCUUGUUGUUAGUUGUGUUUUUCGAGUAGAAUCUGAUUUAUAUUGAGGGUACAAAUGAUUCUAAGUGUUUGAGGAAAGAACCAUUGAAGUUUAGAGGGUUUAGAGAUGAAAAACGAGUAAGAAAAGUCGUCAAACACCUGGGAAAGGGGGUGGGGAGUCGCGCCAGCCAGCGCGCCCCACAAGGGUUUUUGAAGUUUCACCCUUGGGGUGCCGCGCCAGCCAGCGCGCCCUAACUUGUUCUCUGAAUUUUGAGGGCUGGCGACCCGCGCCUCUCAGAGCGCCAGGGACGACAGUUCUCCCUAUUCGUUCGCCACCUUUUAGUACUUGUUCCUUAGCAAUGUACCUAUGUUUUCUAGUUGAUUCCAAUACUCUAAGGUACAUCUAAACAUCAUGCAAUCAUACAUAAACAUGAGAUCAUGAAACUUGAAUCCAUAAUCCAAUUCAAGGAAAGUUAAGAUCAAAGUCAAGAGAAGUAAGAGUCAAGUCAAGAGAAGUUCUUAGAAUUUUCCAAAUGUUUUAACUUUGUUUUAAGACUUAAAGUUCAAGUUGAGUAAAGAUUAAAGAGUAAAGUUGAAGUUUAUUUCUUCAAAAGUAUAUGGCGACUAUGUAUUCUCAAAGGGUUUAAAAUGUUUUCACAUUUCAACAAGAAAGGAAACCUCGAUUUCCAAAGAGCCUUUGGGCUAGGUUUUAGAAAAGAGUAAUCGCUUUCUAAAUGAAGCAAGAGAGGAGACUUUGAUUUCCAAGAUUGCCUUUGAGCUAUGUUUUUGAGCACUAAUCUAAAAUUACAGAAAGAAGUAUGUUUUUAAACAUAAGAGUUAAUAUCACAUUUUUGGGAGUAGUAUUGACCACUGAUAUAGGGGAGAGUUCAAACAACUCACAACCCCCAUAAACCAUGUAGCCAUCAUGGGUAGAAAAGGGUCAUACUUUUUUGAUGAUUCCUUUAGUGCUUUUUAGCAUAGAUGUAAUGACCCGGACCCGAAAUGUCAUUUUUUUGAUAAUUUUGAAUAGUCAUUUAACUAUAUUUAAUUAAUUUGCGGGUAAUUUGAUUAUUUUUAAUAAUAAUGGGUCAAAUCUGAAAUAUUAAAAUAGGUUAGUAGGGAUUAUACUUUUAAUACAUAAUAAUUUAGAAAAGAAAAUAAAGAGAAGGAAGUAUAGCGGCGGCUGGUGUGGAGACGAUUCACUUCACGAUUAGGUAACACAAUAAAAAUUCCUUAUUUUUGCAAUUGGAACAUGCAUUGAAUUCAAAAGGAUAGUUGUUUAUUAUUAUUAUUUUAAUAAUGAGAGGAAACAGUAAAGAGGAAAACUAAUUUAGCACUUAAGUAAAUUAUUAUAUAAAUAUUUGUAAGGUGCGGUGAUUUAGAAUUGGAGAAUUGGACUUCGUGCCAUCAUGUUAGCAUUACAUCCAGAUGAUGGCUAUGUAAACAUGGCAAUUAAUGAAGGCAUUCAUUUUGAUUGUGAAUACAGUGUUUGUCCGUAAUAAAAGUGAUCAGGGUUUUAGUAUGAGUUUCACGAUUUUCUUAUCAUUAUCAGGUUAUAAUUCAAGUUUUGAUAUAUUGGUAUAUGGAAUUAAAUAUUAGCUAUAUUGUUUGAGAUGAAUAUUGUCAAAUUUAUGAUAUUUAGAGGAAAUUAGACUUAACUCUAGGCUUAAAAUUUAGGAGGAUGAUAUGUAGCGUAUGGGUUGACAUCAAGAAUUAGGAACUGGAUUAUAGUAAUAGGGGUGUUGUUAAAUUAUAAAUCUUACCGCGAUUAUUUUUGUCAAUAGAUUGCAUUAAUUUGGAAGUUCAACGAAAAGGGAAGACUCAAGUCCCAGAGUGAUUGUUCGGCCAUUUGAGGCAAGUGGAUUUCUAAACCCUUGUUAAGUGUAUGGAAUUCAUGUAUUUCCUUGUAAUAUGUGUUUGGGGGUAAUGAGACUUGGCGAUGGGUUGACUUGUCCACAUUGAUUAAUUCUAAUGAUGAAUAAAGGGUAAUAAAAGGCAAUGUGAUUAAUUGUUUGUGAUGUGUUGAGAAUGGUUUGAAAGGUUUAUUGAAUCAUUGUUGAUGUUGUAUCUUGAUUGUGUUGUUGUGAAUUGUGCAAUGUUAUGAAAAUAGUCACCUCCUCAUUAUUUGUGUGAACAUGUCAUCUGCAUUGUUCUGAGACAUGGUUGUGACAAGUGUUAUGUGAAUUGAGAAAGAAUAAGAAAUUAAAGAGGAUGUACCAUUUCGAGGGACGUAUCGCGCGCCGCGAUGGUUACUAUAUUUCGAGGGACGUGUCGCGCGCCGCGACGGAUACUAUAUUUCGAGGGACGUAUCGCGCGUCGCGAUGGAUACUAUUUUUUGAGGGACGUAUCGCACGCCACGGUAGUUACUAUUAUCGAGAGUCGUAUCGCGCGCCGCGAUGGAUGCAUGGACAGAUAUGUCCCCCAUGGGUCCCGGACUGAGAGACAGCGGGUGUGUAUCAUUAGGUCAGACAUGCAUCACUAUACUUGACAUUGCAUUUCAUUGCAUUGCACUUCUUUAUUAUUGGUGAACUUGAUCUUUUGUAUUGCUGAUCUUGCGAGUGCCUUUCCGUGAAACUUGUGACUGAUGAAUAUUGAGUUUGUUGUUGAAGAUAUAUGAUUGUUAGAAUGUUGUUGUUGAGAUAUGUGCUUGUGAAUUGUAAAUUGUUAGGUUGAGCUGGUUUUAUGCAGUUUGUAGUUGUGGAGGUUUGGUUGGGGUGUAAGGAGAGCAGGUUAUAGUUGUCAAGGUUGUAAUUGAUGAAUAUUGAGCUUGUUGUUGAGAAUAUAUGAUUGUUAGAAUGUUGUUGUGGAGAUAUAUGCUUGUAAAUUGUAAGCUGUUAGGUUGGGCUGGUUUUAUACAGAUUGUAGUUGUGAAGGUUCGGUUGGGGUGUAUGGAGUACUCGUAUUCUAUCCCCUUAGCUCGUGUUUAGAGAUUUACUUGCUGAGUAACGUGUGAUUUGGUACUCACCCCUUGCUUCUACAAAUUUUUUUGUAGGUUACUAGCCCGGACCUUUGUGAUACUUUCCAUUCUCUUAUUUUCUGAGGUUUCUUGGAGAUUUGUGAGGUAGCUGUUUGUCAUCUCAGCAGACUUUCUUACUCCUAUUUAUGAUCUUGUUCUAUUCUAGAAACAAAGUCAUUUGAGACUUGUAUUUUUCUUUUGAAUCAAUUGUAAUACUUUAGAGGCUUGUACACGUGACAAUCAGAUUUUGAGGGUAUUUUUGAGUUGAUUAUAAAAUUUCCGCAUUUUAUUGUAAUGGUUGAGCUUUAGGCUGACUUGUCUUGGUGGUAUAAGACGAGUGCCAUCACGUCCAUUUUUGGGUCGUGACAAUAGACUAGUGGAUCGACUUAGUAGUUCAGGUUCUAUACCCCUGAUAAGGUAUAUGACGUCCCUGGCAGCGUGAGGCAAAAUGAUGUAUCAUCACGAUAAUGGUUGUCGGUUAGAGAAACUCCCGUAGAAGUAAUUGUAUUCUUAUAUACACAGUUUAUUGUAUUUUUACAUACAUUUCAGAGUUAUAUGUAUCUUUGCAUACACACAGAGUUGACAUCAUGUUUUAAACAACUUAUCUUUAUAUUGAAAUGAGUUCAGUUAUGUUGAGUUGAGCCAGGUAAGUUCUUCAGAUUCUUUUCAAGCCUAUGUUGUGUUUAGCAUUCCAACUCGCAUACUCGUACAUUCAAUGUAAUGAAGCCAGUUGGCCUGCAUCUUAUUAUGAUGUAGACACAGGUAAUCAAGAUUAGCACUCAGCGCAUCGUUGAUCCAGUUGAGCACUUAGAGUCAGUUGGUGAGCUUCCUUGCUUUCCGGAGGAUCCCUUUGGUUUAUUUUGUUUCAUUGCUUGCUUAUUUCAGUUGUUAGGAUGAUCGGGGAUCUUGUCUCGACAUCCCUCAGAGUUUAGAGGAUUCAUAGACAGAGUUAGUGAUGUUAGUUCAUGAGUCUUUACUUUUCCUUUUCAGUUAAGUUGAGACUUGAGUUGUCACUUUGGCAGUGAGUGUUAUUAUAAUACAUUCUAAGUUAUAUUUUGAGCAGUUCAGUUUACUUUAAAAGUAUUUUUCUUCAUGAGUUAAGUCUUCCGCUAAGUAAAUAAGCCAGGCCAAGGGUUCGCUUAGGGCCCGCAAUGGUUCUCGAGUGCUGGCCAUGACCAGGGUGUAGGCUCGGGGAGUGACAUUAUCACUAAGUACUUAUAUUUCAAUUUAUGUGAGACAUUCUUAAUUUAUUCAAUUCUAUAAAGAAUGAAUUUUUUUCUCGAUUGACAAAUAUCUAAUAAAAUUAUCAAUUUUGUUCAUACUGGGUGUGUAUCGGUCUGUCUGUUAGGUUCGGUUUUAAGUAUUAUCAUUUCAAUUUUUAAAUAUGCUAAACAGAUAGCCAAACCAAUAAGAUUUAUUCAUAGAUUCUCUCUACUUUGAAAAAGUAAUAAUGCAAACAAUGUGUCAAGUUAAAAUUGAAACUGCGAAAGUAAUGUAUGUGUGAAAUUAGGGAUAAUUGCUAUAUAGUCGAAAAAUGACAAAAUUAAAGGACAUUUUGAUAUAUUCUACAUAUUUUUAGUUUAGGAUCGUAAGAUUAAAAAAAUAACUUUUAAAUUUUCUUAAACUCUGUGCCAAAGUUAAAAUCAAUUACAUUGAAACUGCGAAAGUAAUGUAUGUGUGAAAUUAGGGAUACUUGCUACAUAGUUGAAAAAAUGACAAGGAUAAUCUCUUAUUUUCAAGAUGGAAUAUUUAAUUUGCAGAGUAUUUUCAAAUUUUGUUCAAAAUUUUAAAGUUUUAUAUAUAAUAUUAAUACUAAUUGAAAUACUCACACCAUUGUUUUAAGAAAUCCUCCCCGACCUCGAAGCGUCGUUCCCCGAGACCCUNNNNNNNNNNNNNNNNNNNNNNNNNNNNNNNNNNNNNNNNNNNNNNNNNNNNNNNNNNNNNNNNNNNNNNNNNNNNNNNNNNNNNNNNNNNNNNNNNNNNNNNNNNNNNNNNNNNNNNNNNNNNNNNNNNNNNNNNNNNNNNNNNNNNNNNNNNNNNNNNNNNNNNNNNNNNNNNNNNNNNNNNNNNNNNNNNNNNNNNNNNNNNNNNNNNNNNNNNNNNNNNNNNNNNNNNNNNNNNNNNNNNNNNNNNNNNNNNNNNNNNNNNNNNNNNNNNNNNNNNNNNNNNNNNNNNNNNNNNNNNNNNNNNNNNNNNNNNNNNNNNNNNNNNNNNNNNNNNNNNNNNNNNNNNNNNNNNNNNNNNNNNNNNNNNNNNNNNNNNNNNNNNNNNNNNNNNNNNNNNNNNNNNNNNNNNNNNNNNNNNNNNNNNNNNNNNNNNNNNNNNNNNNNNNNNNNNNNNNNNNNNNNNNNNNNNNNNNNNNNNNNNNNNNNNNNNNNNNNNNNNNNNNNNNNNNNNNNNNNNNNNNNNNNNNNNNNNNNNNNNNNNNNNNNNNNNNNNNNNNNNNNNNNNNNNNNNNNNNNNNNNNNNNNNNNNNNNNNNNNNNNNNNNNNNNNNNNNNNNNNNNNNNNNNNNNNNNNNNNNNNNNNNNNNNNNNNNNNNNNNNNNNNNNNNNNNNNNNNNNNNNNNNNNNNNNNNNNNNNNNNNNNNNNNNNNNNNNNNNNNNNNNNNNNNNNNNNNNNNNNNNNNNNNNNNNNNNNNNNNNNNNNNNNNNNNNNNNNNNNNNNNNNNNNNNNNNNNNNNNNNNNNNNNNNNNNNNNNNNNNNNNNNNNNNNNNNNNNNNNNNNNNNNNNNNNNNNNNNNNNNNNNNNNNNNNNNNNNNNNNNNNNNNNNNNNNNNNNNNNNNNNNNNNNNNNNNNNNNNNNNNNNNNNNNNNNNNNNNNNNNNNNNNNNNNNNNNNNNNNNNNNNNNNNNNNNNNNNNNNNNNNNNNNNNNNNNNNNNNNNNNNNNNNNNNNNNNNNNNNNNNNNNNNNNNNNNNNNNNNNNNNNNNNNNNNNNNNNNNNNNNNNNNNNNNNNNNNNNNNNNNNCCUCGAUGCCUCCACCCGGCCUCGAGGCAUUACUAAUGACUAAAACUGUUACUGAGGACUCUGACAGACCAAAGAUUCUGAGCUAGGACCCUUAAACUAAUGUCAACGAUCGAUUAGGGCAUCCUCAAACUGCUUGUAGUAUUAUAAUCAGGGAAUUUUCCUAAAUAGAGGAAGCAUCAAUAGUAGAUGGAUGAAAACACAUUUUCUUUUUCAAAUUGGACCAAAGUUGGAGAAAAGUUUAUUAAUGGAAACAGAUAAGCUAUGGCGGAAAGCAAAAAAAGAUUGUCGAUUUACAGUUAACUCUUGCUAUAAAUUGUUGAACAGCCAAAGGACAAUGAGAAAAAGUGUCCAUUGAAGAUGACUUGGAACAGAAAAGCUGUCUAUUUCUCCCUUUGUUUCUCGACUUGAUACUCAAACAGAUUCAUUCUCAAGGAAUGAUGGAUGCUACCAAGCAAAACCAAGAUUGGAUUAAGCAGCUGACUCUAAAGAAGAACCCAAACAAAAUUGAUACUUGGUCCUUUUUCUUUCUUCUUCUUUUUCGAGCCUCUAAAACCAGUAAAGAUCUUCGUAAAGCACUCAAUGAUUGUAACAACAAACACUUUCUUUUUAAACUAGCAAGUGGUUAAAUUCUGACAAGUAACAACCACAUCCGCGUUAUCCUAAUUCCAAUUAUACAUUAGAGAGUAAUGCUAGUACAACACACUUUCCCUAUAGUACAAAUUUCCAAAUACUCACCUACCCAAUCAGCAGUAGAUCCAGCAUACCAUGAAUCAAUUACUAUCUGAUGCACCCAGGGGCGGAGCAAGAGGGACAGAAGGGGGUUCAUUUGAACCUUAUAUAAGGUUACAUGUUUUCAUGUAUAUGUGAAAAUCUUGACACAGCCACUAGGUGCACCCACUGACUCUAAAUACCGGAUAUGGCCUAUAUAACCAUGACCUACACUAUAAUCCAUGUAGUAAAUGGUAAAUUUUGCAGUUUAUCACACCACCAUCGGUUGCUUAGAUUCAAGGGGUAAAUGUUAGCUUUCCAAUUCUUAACUACAGAAACUAAAAAACAAAAUUUGGCAACAGCCUCAACAAUAGAAUUAAGAAGGGUCAAGCAAAUAUCAAACAACGGGUCUAAAGCUACUGAAUUGCAACUGGAAGACUAUAAAUAUUUCUCAACAGUUUUCACUAUAACAAAGAUAAGCGUUGAGCCAGUUACUCGUGAAUGGUUGAAAGCUACUGAUCUGCAACUAAAGGACAGAAAUUUGGCAACAAUUUCAAGACUUAUCAAGAAAAGGGUAGAGCUAUAUAUCAAUGAAUGGUCAAGAAGAAAUACUGAAUUGCAAAGACUAGAACUUUGCAACAGUUUUCACAAUAACAAGAAAGGCUCAAAAGGGUCGAACCAGUUACUAGUGAAUGGUCGAAAACUACUUCAUCAAGUUUCACAUCUAAUUUACUUAUCAUUGGAGUCCUCGUUUUGAAGCGUAAGCAUACUACCUCUAAACUUCCACAAAGCUAUCGAUUACUCAUUUCUUUUCUCGAUCCUCAAACAGACUCAUUCUCAAGGAACAAGGGAUAUAAAUUAUGCACCCAGGGAAAAAGCUAGAUUCGAACCUUAUAUAAGGUUAUUUUUUUUUUUAUGUAUAUAUGAAAAUCUUGUCUCUGCCACUAGGUGCACCCACUGACUUUAAUACUGGAUUGGCCUUAAUUCUAACAGGUGACAACCACAUCCGCAGUAUCUUAAUUCCAAUUAUGCAGUAGAUAGUAAUGCUAGUACAACAUACUUCCCCUAUAGUACAAAUUUGCAAAUACUCCUACCUAAUCAGCGGUAGAUCCAGCAUAUCAUGAACCAACUGUCUGAUGCACCCAUGGAAAGAGCUAAAGGAACGGAAGGGGGUUCAUCCGAACCUUAUAUAAGGUUAAAUGUUUUUCAUGUAUAUGUGAAAAUCUUGACACUAGGUGCAUCCGCUGACUCUAAAUACUGGAUUGACCUAUGUAACCGUGACCUGCACUAUAAUCCAUGUAGUAAAUGGUAAAGCCUGCAUCUUUCAAAGCAUCCUUACCUAUGUUUCUAGCAGCUCAUCACCACCAUCUGUUGCUUAGACCAAAGGGUAUAUUUAGGUUUUCCAAUAAACAAAACCUGGUAACAACCUCAACAAUAGAAUUAAAAAGGGUCAAGCAAAUAACAAAGAACGGGUCUAAAGCUGUUGAAUUGCAACUGAAAGACUACAAUCUCACCAGUUUUCACUAUAACAAAGAUAAGGGUUGAGCCAGUUACUAGAGAAUGGUCGAAAGCUAUUCAUCUGCAACUAAAGGACAAAAAUUUGGCAACAAUGUCAACACUUAUCAAGAAAAGGGUAGAGCUAUAUAUCUAUGAAUGGGCAAAAAGAAAUAUUGAAUUGCAACAAAAAGACUAGAACUUUGCAACAGUUUUCACAAUAACAAGAGAGGCUCAAAAGGGUCGAAACAGUUACUAGUGAAUGGUUGAAAGCUACUCAUAUGCAACAAAAGGACAACAAUUUCAACUAUACGAAGAAAAGGGUCAAGGCAUAAUAUCAAUGAAUGGUCAAAAUAUUUUUUAUUGAAGUGAAAUUCCCAACCUGAGUUCUUGUUGGAAUCACAAUCACCAAUCUGUUGUCUAAAGCUACUAAACUGCCAACUAAAAGACUAGAACUUUGCAACACUUUUCACUAUAUAAACGAUUGUUAACUAUAUAAGAGAAGGAAGAAAUAAACACAAACUUGAUCAAAAUAUCUUUAAAAGAAGGAGAAAUAUACAUUCAUGCUCUCAGAAAAGAGCCAACUAUUAACUGGAGAAAAAUUAUUUAAUGAAUACACUUGAAACCAAAAUAAUGAUCGAAACACUGAUUCUAGACAAACUUUAGGGACAACUUAUUAUAUAGACGAGGACAAACAAACUUAGUUAAGCUAAUCCAGAUUCAAAAGAUCAUGUAAACGAAGAAGACGACAUUUUUCAAUAGCUACUAUGUGCAUUUGUAAAGCAGAAAAUUUUCUUCAGCCUAUUAACAUUAAAACUUCCUUCAAAUGUUCAAAAAGCAAAGUGGACAGAUAAACAAAAGAAACAAAAAGGCUGCCCUAUACCUAAUCGCAAUCGCUAGCUUAUUUCUCUACCAAAUCAGAGAAAGAUGGCUCACGAUUCGCUAUUGUAUGUACUACUUGUCUUAUCUUUUAAGACCAUUUUAUCCAAACAUAGGAGAAAUUGCUCGCUAUGAUUUCCGUUGUAAGAAGUCAUUAUGAGCUGCCAAGUAGGUAACCGAUUCACUCACAUUGCCAAUUUCAAGGAGUUCUUUUGUUUUAUAUAAGGUUAUCCCAACUGGACCUUUACAAGAUAGUGAAGAAGAAAGGUGUUGAACGCUCCACUAGCACUCAUGGAAAUUGUUUAAAAAGAGAAUCAAGAAAGGUUUGUAGGAUAGGGAACAAUUUUAUAGAUUUAGGGAAUAAUCUCUAAUCUGUUACGUAUUUAUUUAGGAUACAUCCACCAUGUUCCAAUUUGAAUAGAAUGAGGAAUAGACUCCUAACUCGCUUUGUCAAAAGAAGCAGAUGGUAAUUACAGAUGAAAAUCUGAACUUCUAAAACAAUCGAAAGAAGCUUGGAAGAUUACACUUCAAAUGAUGACACAAUUCGUAGGCCUCCAAGAAUAGGUUUGUUAUGAUGCAGAAUCAACGACAAGAUGAGACGGUGCAUCAGAAAUAAAUUGGGGGAAAAUGUUUCAAAUUUUCCAUUCAUAAUACUUUUUAACCAUUAAAAGAAUACAACAUAAUUUUUAAAAAAGAUAAAACAGUGAACUUGUUUAUACAAGGGAAGUCAAAAUAAACAAGGAAUUCAACUUCCAACAAUCUCGACCAAAUUCUUUUUAGAAAUCCCGCAAAUCCUUGCAUAUCAAAAACCCUUAAAUCGCUUCAUUUGAUUUUCUCAAACCAAUGUUUACCCAGAAUCUUCAAUCAUUUUUUACGACACCCAAUGUAACAUUAACCAUUUUACUUAUUUAAUCUAAGAAAGAAAAUCCCAAAAAAGGAAAUCACAAAACCCACCUACAUUUUCCUUCCGUACACAAAUUUACGCAACAAACCCCAUAACAAACAAACAAAAAAGUGAAUAAUCAAACCAAUAAUAAAAAAAAUACAGAAAACAAGAUAAAACCCAGUAUUCAAAUUAUUUUCCUACAAGUACACAUAAUAAACAGAGACCAAAAUCAGAGAAAGACUGACAAGUUUAGAGGAACGAGAAAUCUAGUUACGAGCAGAGACAGUUGUAUGAUUUGAGAUAUUAGAAAGUACCGGUCAUUUCUUGGCCGCUCCAUCAUUCAAUUUUCCGGUCUGAUUAUUCUCCAACCCCAAUGAAUUCGCCACCAUUGCUUGUUUCUUCGCCACAGAUGAACGCCUUUUCUGGGUCGUGGUCUUCUCCUCUGUCUAUUAUAAAACGUCUUUUGAUCACCCUGUUCUUCAAGAGAACGAAGAAGAAAGCCGCUACUGGUAACUGUGAAAAAUGUGGAAGUAGUUAUUCUUCAAGAAAACGAAGAAGAAACUAUAAUGCAUAAGGCGGGGAAAAGAGGGCUGAUUUAAAUUGACUCGAUUUAGGUAUCCGUUAGGAGCGGACAACGGAAGUACUCGAUUUAGGUAUUCAAAAGAGGGCGGAUUUGAAUUGUGUUAGUUCAUCGAUGAAAGUUUAGUUAGUAAUUUUUUUGAACUCUAAUUUGAAGGGAUUCAUUCUUGAUUUUGUUAAUUAUUCACUAUAAUAAAGCCAAAUACAAAUAGAAAAAAAAGUUUUUUCCUUUAUUUUUUGGAAAAAUAAAUUCAAAUUAUAAGUCCUAAUUUUAUGGUAAAUGACAGAUUAUAUUAAUAGAAAUAAAUUUUGGUUAUAAGGAAUGAAAUAUGUGGGCCUACACUACGUUUGUUUGAAUUGUGUUAGUUCAUCUUCAAGAAUCAGAUGAAAGUUUAACUAGUAAUUUUUUUGAACUCUAAUUUGAAGGGAUUCGUUCUUGAUUUUGUAAAUUAUUCACUAUAAUAAAGCCAAAUACAAAUAGAAAAAAAGUUUUUUCUUUUAUUUUUUGGAAAAAUAAAUUCAAAUUAUAAGUCCUAAUUAGAUGGUAAAUGACAGACUAUAUUAAUAGAAAUAAAUUUUGGUUAUAAGGAAUGAAAUAUGUGAGCCUACACUACGUUUGUUUGAAUUUAAAGUUAUAUAUUUUUGAUAUUUUUUAUAUAAUAAAGAACUUAUCAUAAUAUGAUUAUAAAUAUACAUUAAAACCCUACAAUUUUGGUUUUAAAAAUUAAUAAUUGAUUGGGUUAGGUUCGACUUCGUCGGUUUUAAGAAUUGCUUUGACACUCCUAAGUCCUUAUCCAUACUGUAACCACAUUAUUAGCAUUGAUGUGCAUUCUUUGUCACGAUUGAUAUUAAUUCAACUUCGCUUUUAUUGAAAAGACAAGUAAGUAAAUAAAGUUUUUUGUUUUUGAAAGUUUGAUCAUGAUAAUUGAGAUGGUCUUCAAUAUGAGAUUUGAGCAAAUAAAGUUAUUGAAUUUGAGUCUCAUCUUCACAUAUUAUUAAGAAUAUUUUCAUGUGUUCGACAUGGGAAAAAAAAUCAGGCCAACGUAUAUGAGAGGACAUUCUCAAUAUAUAAUUAAAAAUAGAAAAUUAAAGAGUGAUUUUUAAUAGUUUAUGUUAGAUGAUAUGAUUAUACUAGUUAAAUAUAUAUACAAUUAUCCCAUAGAUAUACAAUUCGUCUCUCUCAUCUUUAUGUUCUCUCUUUCGCUCACCUCUCUCCUCCCUCUCCCAAUUUUGCUUGCCACGCUGCUUCCUCUCCCAAUCUGGCUAGCCUCUCUCCUCAUUAUAACAUAUGUAGGUGCAAAUUGAAGUUAAGUAAACUAUAGUUAAAAAGCCUUGUUGUGUUUCAAUCUAAGCUGUUUUUGAAAUUUCGUCUUUAGAAAAUAUGAGUGAUUCAUUUAAGUAAAAGAAGUUCCGAAGAGGCAAGUGCGGGUUUUACAUAUUCCAAAUUUAGAUUUUAUGGGUUUAACUUUUUUAAAAGAAUUCUAAUAAAAUGUAUUAGCUAAUUAUUAUAAUUUUAAAAAAAAAUUAUACAAGAAAUUAUGUUGGGGAGAAAAUAUUAAUUCAGAUAUGAAGUCAAUAACAGAGCAAUAGUUGGAUCCACCAACAUCCCGAAAUCAUGUAUACAACUUGCAGAAUGGAGCUAAUAGCCGCCAUGAGUCAUAUUUUUCUUAAUUUAUUUUCAUCCAAUUUGCAGUUGGAGCUAAUAGCCGCCAUGAAGCACAUUUCUUACUUUAUUCAUCCACUUUAAUUCCAAUGCCAUAUAAUAUAAUAAUAUUUUCCCCUCUAAACAUUGAUCCAUUGAUACAAUCACUCCUACUAUCUCCACAUCAUAUUUUCCUUUAUCCUCUCACUUAAUUUCUAGUUUUAUUUCUAAAGAGAGAAACAACUAGUAAAAUUCUAUAAAGUUGAACGAAUAGUCACACACGUUCUACAUGACAAUUGACAUAAGAUACACUGCAACUGAUUUGUAUUAUGCCAUUAGAAUAUGUGUGUCUAUUUAUUCAAUUUUAUACAAGUUUAUACAAAUAUUUGAAAUACCUUAUUGAGAGACACGUGGAAAAUGAAAAAAGUCUUAAAAAUGAAUUCACCUAACACAACAAGUUCAUGGUGGUUCACGAAAUUCUAUAAAUAUCUAAUUAUUUAUGUAUGAAACUCACAAAACAGUGGUAGUUUGAAAGAGUUCUAAACUUUUCACUCAACAAAAUUUCCAUGCGUGUAUUGCCACUUGAAACUCUUUGGAGAAGCUUUUGAACCGUGAUCUUCACAUAGCAUGUCAUUUUCCUCUAAGGAAUAUUUUAUUAUGAGUUUAUGCUAAUUAAGGAGUGUUCUGCAAAUACCUAAUAAUUUAGAUAUGAAACUUACCAAACGGUGCUAGAAAAGUGAGCUUACAAUGCUCAGCAAUACAUAUGUAAAUGGAUACAAGUCUGUUGAAGAGAAUAGAUUUAACACUUACAAAAUUACAACACUAAAGUAAAAGUUCAAGAAAGUAAACAAAUUUUUUGAAUCUUGUGGUCUUAAAUUAAACAUAUGUCAAAUGUAUUAAGAUUUAAGAUGUCCUUUAAUAUUGAGGUCUUAAACAUGUCAGGUGGAUCGUUCAAAUUAAAUUGUUACUAAAAUAGGAAAGAGUCAUUUUUUAAAAAAGAACUAAAAUAAAAUAAAAUAGGCCAAAUAAAUUGAAUAUAGAGAGUAUGUUUCAUAUACACAAUUUUACACAUUGUACUGAACCUUUUAACUCAUAAAGCAAUUCAUUCUUAAAUUUGUCAAAUUGCAAGAGAUCUCACCUCAUCCACUUUCCAGAGGUCUUCUUCACACUUAUACAUAUCUUUCAUAUACACAGGUUUACACAUUUUACUGGACCUUUAACUCAUGAAGCAGUGCAUUCUUAAAGUUGUCAAAUUGCAAGAGAUCUCACCUCAUCCACUUUCCAGAGGUCUUCUUCAUUCUCAUACCACCUCAUCAGCCCUUCAUCAUUUAGAGUGUGCUGACACUUGAUGCAUGAGUCAGUUAUUACGGUUAGGAAUUUGUCUAACCUAGAUGUUUUUCAAGAAUUGAUUCAUCAAGCUUGGUCAGAAUUUUCAUCGGUGUGGGUGGAGGGUCUUCAGUAAUUAUGCAAUGAGAUAUAUUGAGCACUUUCAACUUUUUUAACCCCUCCAAGAUAAUAAAAAGAAGGUUUAGAUAACACCGUGCACCUCAAGCUCAACAGUUUCAAGUUUGGAAGAAAUGAUACCAAUACAGAUGCAAACAACAUAUCAUAGGGCCCUAUUAUCUUGAGCUCAGAAUUUUUUUUGCAACUCCUGUUAUUUUCUUCAAUGACAUAUGCAUGAUUUUUUAUACUAGGCCUCGUUAGUGAUUCAAUAUCUUCCCAUAUAUGAAUAGGCCUGCAUAUUGUUCGCUUUUUUAUUUUGUUCCAAAAAGGCAUAACAAGACGUUUAAGCCGUGGAUACCUGAAAAAGAGGAGAUCUAAUUAGUUGUCUUAUUCAUUUUUACAGUAAUUUUUGCUUCUAUAAGAAUAAUGGAAAAUCAUAGGGCAUCUGAUAUCUCUGAAACGAUGUUUGCUGUACAGUUUCUUGAUUUCAGUUAUAAUUAUAAUACUAUAUAUAGAUGAAAGUUUAUUUAGGGAAUACCUCUUGGCAGUAAAAGUCAACUGAUUGUCGUUAACAUACAAAUUAUGAUGGAAGAUCAACGUUUGUAUGUUACCAUGACUGAGGUUCAAGCAAAUAUUUAGGAGUCGGGUCUAUUUUUCUUGAGACAGACUGUAGACAUAUACAUAAGGCUUCCUUGAGAUUCUGAUGACAUUUGAUUGCAAUAGCGAUAAGUCCAGCAUUUUCCAGAGAAGUUGAUCAGAACAAGCCAAUUGACAUGCACUACAAACUUGAGGAAUUACAGAUAUCAACUGUAAAAGGUCAAAGGACUGGAGUAUCUUCACCCAGAUAUUAUUAUCAAGGUCCUUCCAUUUCCUUACAGGAGAAUCUCCUUUUUCCAUCACAAUAGCUUCACUCUUCUUUUUAUAUUGAAACUCCAUCAGUAAUUAUGCAAUGAGAUAUGUUGAGCACUUUCAACUUUUUUAACCCCUCCAAGAUAAUAACCAAAGAAGGUUUAGAUAACAUUGUGCACCUCACACUCAAUACUUCCAAGUUUGGAAGAAGUGAUACUAGUGUAAAUGCAAACAACAUAUCACUGGGCGCCAUAAUCUUGAGCUCAGAAAAUCAUUGGCAACUCCUGGCAAUUUCCUCGAUGACAUGUGCAAUACUAGGCAUUGUUAGUGAUUCAAGAUCUUUCCAUAUAUGAACAGCCCUGCAUAUCGUUCGCUUUUUUAUUUUGUUCCAAGAAAGCAUAACAAGGCGUUUAAGGUGUGGACAUCUGAAAAAAGAGGAAAUCUAAUUUAGUUGUCUUAUUCAUUUUCACAGUAUUUUUGCUUCUCCUGAAUAAGUAGGCGUUUGGCCAUAUAUAUUCAUGCUUGAAUGUACUUCUCAAAUUUUAGAUACAACUUUAAAAGUGAAAAAUGAGUUGGAAAACAGGUUAUAAGUCGUUUCCAAUUUGAAAUAUAACUUUAAAAUUUAAAUUGGAUAUAGAAUUUUCAUAGUCAAACACUGAUUUUCAAUAAAGAGUAAAAUUACUCAACAAAGAAGUGAAUAUAUUUUUUAUAAAGUUUGAUUUUAGUACCGACAAGUCUAGCGUCUUCAAGGGAAGUUGAUCACAACAAGCCAAUCGCCACGCAUUACAAACAUGAGCAAGUCCAGCAGACAAUUCAAAACGUCGAAAGAUUGGAGUAUCUUCACCAAGAUAUCAUUAUCGAGGUCCUCCCAGAUCCUUACAGGAGAAUCUCCUUCCUCCAUCACAAAAACCCCAAUCUCCUAAAC